rnacentral:rRNA from 1 species
UAGUUUGAUCCUGGCUCAGGAAAGUCGUAACACGGUAACCGUAAGUCGUAACAAGGUAACCGUACGUCGUAACAAGGUAAUCGUACAGUUUGAUCAUGGCUCAGGAAGUCGUAACAAGGUACCGUAAGUCGUAACAAGGGGGCCGUAA